rnacentral:rRNA from 1 species
GGAGAGUUUGAUCCUGGCUCAGGAUGAACGCUAGCGGCAGGCUUAACACAUGCAAGUCGAGGGGCAGCAUAAUGGAUAGCAAUAUCUAUGGUGGCGACCGGCGCACGGGUGCGUAACGCGUAUGCAACCUACCUUUAACAGGGGGAUAACACUGAGAAAUUGGUACUAAUACCCCAUAAUAUCAUAGAAGGCAUCUUUUAUGGUUGAAAAUUCCGAUGGUUAGAGAUGGGCAUGCGUUGUAUUAGCUAGUUGGUGGGGUAACGGCUCACCAAGGCGACGAUACAUAGGGGGACUGAGAGGUUAACCCCCCACACUGGUACUGAGACACGGACCAGACUCCUACGGGAGGCAGCAGUGAGGAAUAUUGGUCAAUGGACGCAAGUCUGAACCAGCCAUGCCGCGUGCAGGAAGACGGCUCUAUGAGUUGUAAACUGCUUUUGUACGAGGGUAAACGCAGAUACGUGUAUCUGUCUGAAAGUAUCGUACGAAUAAGGAUCGGCUAACUCCGUGCCAGCAGCCGCGGUAAUACGGAGGAUCCAAGCGUUAUCCGGAUUUAUUGGGUUUAAAGGGUGCGUAGGCGGUUUGAUAAGUUAGAGGUGAAAUUUCGGGGCUCAACCCUGAACGUGCCUCUAAUACUGUUGAGCUAGAGAGUAGUUGCGGUAGGCGGAAUGUAUGGUGUAGCGGUGAAAUGCUUAGAGAUCAUACAGAACACCGAUUGCGAAGGCAGCUUACCAAACUAUAUCUGACGUUGAGGCACGAAAGCGUGGGGAGCAAACAGGAUUAGAUACCCUGGUAGUCCACGCAGUAAACGAUGAUAACUCGUUGUCGGCGAUACACAGUCGGUGACUAAGCGAAAGCGAUAAGUUAUCCACCUGGGGAGUACGUUCGCAAGAAUGAAACUCAAAGGAAUUGACGGGGGCCCGCACAAGCGGAGGAACAUGUGGUUUAAUUCGAUGAUACGCGAGGAACCUUACCCGGGCUUGAAAGUUAUCGACGGACCUAGAAAUAGGUCUUCCCUACGGGGCGAGAAACUAGGUGCUGCAUGGUUGUCGUCAGCUCGUGCCGUGAGGUGUCGGGUUAAGUCCCAUAACGAGCGCAACCCCUACCGUUAGUUGCCAUCAGGUCAAGCUGGGCACUCUGGCGGGACUGCCGGUGUAAGCCGAGAGGAAGGUGGGGAUGACGUCAAAUCAGCACGGCCCUUACGUCCGGGGCUACACA